rnacentral:tRNA from 1 species
GGGCCCAUAGCUCAGCGGCAGAGCGUCCGGCUCAUAACCGGUUGGUCGUAGGUUCGAAUCCUACUGGGCCCA